GACGAACGCUGGCGGCGUGCUUAACACAUGCAAGUCGAACGGAAAGGCCCCUUUGGGGGUACUUGCGUGGCGAACGGGUGAGUAACACGUGCGUAACCUGCCCUUGACUUCGGGUUAACUUCAGGAAACUGGGGCUAAUUCCGGCUAGGAAUCCUUGCUGCCUGGUGGGGGUUGGAAAGCUUCUGGCGGUUUGGAUGGAGUCGCGGGGUAUCUGCUUGCUGGUGGGGGGGUGGCUUACCAAGGCUUUGGCGGGGAGCCGGCCGGAGUGGGCGACCGGCCACAAUGGGACUGAGAUACGGCCCAGACGCCGACGGGAGGCAGCAGGGGGGAAUAUUGCACAAUGGGCGGGAACCUGAUGCAGCAACGCCGCGUGCGGGAAGACGGCCUUCGGGUUGGAAACCGCUUUCAGCAGGGGCGAAGCUUGUGGUGACGGUACCUGCAGAAGAAGCACCGGCUAACUACGUG
rnacentral:rRNA from 1 species